GUCCACGCCGUAAACGAUGGGAACUAGGUGCUUGGGGGAGCGACCCCCCCGAGUGCCGGCGCUAACGCAUUAAGUUCCCCGCCUGGGGAGUACGGCCGCAAGGCUGAAACUCAAAAGGAAUUGACGGGGGCCCGCACAAGCGGUGGAGCAUGUGGUUUAAUUCGACGCAACGCGAAGAACCUUACCUAGGCUUGACAUGUACGGGAAAGCCUCUGGAAACAGAGGCCCCUUUCGGAGCUCGUGCACAGGUGCUGCAUGGCUGUCGU
rnacentral:rRNA from 1 species